UACAAAACCCAAAACUUUUGA
rnacentral:piRNA from 1 species